UUGGCCUACGGGGGGCAGCAGUGGGGAAUAUUGGACAAUGGGGGGAACCCUGAUCCAGCGACGCCGCGUGAGUGAGGAAGUAUUUCGGUAUGUAAAGCUCUAUCAGCAGGGAAGAAAAUGACGGUACCUGACUAAGAAGCCCCGGCUAACUACGUGCCAGCAGCCGCGGUAAUACGUAGGGGGCAAGCGUUAUCCGGAUUUACUGGGUGUAAAGGGAGCGUAGGUGGCAUGGCAAGCCAGAAGUGAAAACCCGGGGCUUAACCCCGCGGAUUGCUUUUGGAACUGUCAGGCUGGAGUGCAGGAGG
rnacentral:rRNA from 1 species